rnacentral:rRNA from 1 species
AUACGGAGGAUCCGAGCGUUAUCCGGAUUUAUUGGGUUUAAAGGGAGCGUAGGCGGACGCUUAAGUCAGUUGUGAAAGUUUGCGGCUCAACCGUAAAAUUGCAGUUGAUACUGGGUGUCUUGAGUACAGUAGAGGCAGGCGGAAAUCGUGGGGUAGCGGGGAAAUGCUUAGAUAUCACGAAGAACUCCGAUUGCGAAGGCAGCCUGCUGGACUGUAACUGACGCUGAUGCUCGAAAGUGUGGGUAUCAAACAGGAUUAGAUACCCUGGUAGUCCACACAGUAAACGAUGAAUACUCGCUGUUUGCGAUAUACAGUAAGCGGCCAAGCGAAAGCGUUAAGUAUUCCACCUGGGGAGUACGCCGGCAACGGUGAAACUCAAAUGAAUUGGCGGGG